ACUUAUAUCUCCCUCUCAACUUCCAUUAGUCUCGCCCGAUCACACAUUUUGUAACACUCUCGUUACGCUUUCACCAGCUUACUCCUCAAGUCAAGCGUAUGUAAAGAAGUAUUACUUAAAAAAUAAAUACUAUUGGUGGAUAAUU